rnacentral:rRNA from 1 species
CCAAUAGCGUAUAUUAAAGUUGUUGCAGUUAAAAAGCUCGUAGUUGAAUUUCGGAAUCAAUAUAUCGGUCGUGCCUUGGUACGUACUGGUAUCAUUGGUUUCUCCUUUCUGACGAACCAUGAUGUCAUUAAUUUGGUGUUAUGGGAAGUUAGGACUGUUACUUUGAAAAAAUUAGAGUGUUUAAAGCAGGCUUUAGCUUGAAUACAUUAGCAUGGAAUAA